CGACCAACAAGCUUAAGCUUGGUAUUGGAUGUCACACAAUUAGUGCAUCUUAAAAUUAGUGGCGGUGCCAUUCAGCUUCAAGCGCAGUAAAUUUCUCGCUUCUGGAGUUUGCAUGUUAUACUCGCCAGAACCCCUAAAAUUAUCAAG
rnacentral:misc_RNA from 1 species